rnacentral:rRNA from 1 species
UGGGGAAUCUUGCACAAUGGGCGAAAGCCUGAUGCAGCGACGCCGCGUGCGGGAUGAAGGCCUUCGGGUUGUAAACCGCUUUCAGCAGGGACGAGGCCGCAAGGUGACGGUACCUGCAGAAGAAGCUCCGGCUAAAUACGUGCCAGCAGCCGCGGUAAUACGUAUGGAGCAAGCGUUAUCCGGAUUCAUUGGGCGUAAAGCGCUCGUAGGCGGUCUGUUAGGUCGGCAAGUUAAAUCCGGGGGCUCAACCCCCGUCCGCUUCCGAUACCGGCAGACUUGAGUUUGGUAGGGGAAGGUGGAAUUCCUAGUGUAGCGGUGGAAUGCGCAGAUAUUAGGAAGAACACCGGUGGCGAAGGCGGCCUUCUGGGCCAUAACUGACGCUGAGGAGCGAAAGCUAGGGGAGCGAACAGG